rnacentral:rRNA from 1 species
GACGGCCCCGACCCCGCCCCACUCCAGCCAUGGCCACGGCCCCGCCACGCACUCGCCGGCGUCAACAGCCUCUGCCCCGCCGGGCGACGCCGCUCGACCCUGUCCAUGGCCUCGGCCCCGCCCUAGGAGGCCCAGCCCCCAUAGCCUCGGUUCCGCCGCGCGACACCGUCCAGCGCCCCCGCCCCUGACCAAGCCUGACGGCGCUGCUGCAGUCCGCCGUCGAGCGGUAGCCACAAACACGGCGCCAGCAUGCAGUUCGGUACCAAACGUGGCUUCAUCCAUGAGACAUGCUCAUCCCCUCCCGCACUGCAUCACCAGGCGAGCCGCAGUGCAUUCACCACGCGAGCCACACUGCAUCAACACUCCUCACCGCCGUGGAUCCCGCGUCUCCCCACCACCGGAUCCAGAUAGCUGCACGACUCCGACGCCUCCAGCCGCCCCCACCCCUCUGGCUUUAUCUCUGUUCAGUGGCGCCACCACCACUCCGUCAUCCCCUACCCGGAGUUUACUCUCUCCUCCUUGUCUCCUUCGUCUUGCAUCGGCAGCGAGAUCCUCGUUCAGUUCGUGCUGGUCCGCUACAUGCAGUUUAGAAGCCUUUAAUUUUGCAGGAGGAGAGGGGCGCGAAGAGGUCCGUCGGCGAAGUGCAGUUCUGCCCACGGCGAAGUGCAGCUCGACCAGCGGGGACCUGCAGUUCUGCCCAUGCUGUCGAAGGAUUCUAACUCUGCACAUGGGCGUGCAGUACUGGUAGUGGGGAAGUGCAGCUCGACCAACGGGGGGCUGCAGUUCUGCCCACGGCGUUGAAAGCUUCUACUAUAUAAAUGGGCGUGUAUUACUGCCGGUGGGGGUGCAACUCGUACGAAGAACAACUGGAGGUCGGUUCAGGAUGAUCGGCUCGGAGUGCAUGCAGGCGUUGCAUUUCGUCAGCAAUGCUGAUUACAUAUUAGUUAAUGGCUCUAUAAGGAUGCGUGAUUCCCUCGCGCACAUACGUGUUUACUCUAUGAGUAUUGUUACAAAGUACAACGACAUCACCCAGCACUACCUCACCUCCACUGCAUAUAUGUUUACUUGGAUCUUCAGAAAAGGGCAGACGGAUAUACGCAGGAGAGACUUGGCCGUACGGUACAGGGCUAAUCAUCUCCUGCCCAGGAGCAAUCAUCUCCUGCUCCAAACAGCCCCGACGUGCUGCUGAGUGUUCUACCAUCCAGGAAUUGUGUGGGUUUUUGUUUCGACUCGCUUCCAAAAUAUAGUUUUGAUUCCUAUUUAUUCUGUCCCUUUUGGAUGACUGUCCUGAAAUUGAACAGUGAGUUGGAGAAUGCCGCUUCUUUCACUCUGAUUCAAUCUUGAACGGGUGCUGAUGCAGAUCAACUGAGGUAUGGAAAUCACUGCCGCAUUUUGCAGCAGUUGAUGCAUCUUGCAUCUUGCAUGUUCUGCCCACUCCGAGCCGAUCAUCCUGCAUGCACUGGUCGAAGCUGGAGUUCGGUUCAGAAGUUGGAGGUCGUGUAACUCGAUUGGUGCUCCCCCAGUGCAGCUCAUAAAAAUUUCUCUGUUUAGAUAUGCAGUGUAGAGCAUAGUUGACCGGGGAUGCUCAAGUGUAGUUUGUCUCUUUUUUCUUGAAGUAUUGUGUAGUUUGUCACUUGUGCCGUGCAGGUUUCCUUUGUCUAUGUGGAUCACUUUGUGAAAAAAUUUGUACCAAGGAGUUCACGUUUUAUUGUUUUUGGAGGAGUUGUUUUUGC